CGCAUAUUGCGCCCUUUGGUAUUCCGAAGGGCAUGCCUGUUCGAGCGUCAUUAUCAACCCUCAAGCCCGGCUUGUUAUUGGGUCCUGAAUCGCUUCAGUGCGGUUGGCCCGAAAGAUAAUGGCGGCGUCCAAAUUAGACCCCAGGUGCAGCGAGCUUUAUAAGCAUACACUGAGGUGGUCGUUUGGGCCUUGCCUGAAUAACUAUUCUAGUUUUCUAAGGUUGACCUCGGAUCAGGUAGGAAUACCCGCUGAACUUAA
rnacentral:misc_RNA from 1 species